GUUGCCAAGUGAUGAGAAAAUAACUGCAACAAGAUGAUCGAACUAAGUGUUCGUGAUUAUUAGUAUUUAAGUCUCUGAUGCUC